GAUGAACGCUGGCGGCGUGCUUAAUACAUGCAAGUCGAGCGAACGGACGAGACGUUUGCUUCUUUGAUGUUAGCGGCGGACGGGUGAGUAACAUGUGGAUCACCUACCUAUAAGACUGGGAUAAUUUCGGGAAACCGGAGCUAAUACCGGAUGAUAUUUUGAACCGCAUGGUUCAAAAGUGAAAGACGGUCUUGCUGUCACUUAUAGAUGGAUCCGCGCUGCAUUAGCUAGUUGGUAAGGUAACGGCUUACCAAGGCAACGAUGCAUAGCCGACGUGAGAGGGGGAUCGGCCACACGAGAACGGAGACGCGGUCCAGACUCCUACGAGAGGCAGCAGUAGGGAAUCGGCCGCAAUAGGCGAGAACCUGACAGAGCAACGCCACGUGAGAGAUAGAGGUCUUCGGAUCGUAAAACUCUGUUAUUAGGGAAAAACAUAUGUGUAAGUAACUGAGCACAUCUUGACGGUACCUAAUCAAAAAGCCACGGCUAACUACGUG
rnacentral:rRNA from 1 species